rnacentral:rRNA from 1 species
AUUGAACGCUGGCGGCAGGCCUAACACAUGCAAGUCGAACGGUAACAGGAAACAGCUUGCUGUUUCGCUGACGAGUGGCGGACGGGUGAGUAAUGUCUGGGAAACUGCCUGAUGGAGGGGGAUAACUACUGGAAACGGUAGCUAAUACCGCAUAACGUCGCAAGACCAAAGAGGGGGACCUUCGGGCCUCUUGCCAUCGGAUGUGCCCAGAUGGGAUUAGCUAGUAGGUGGGGUAGCGGCUCACCUAGGCGACGAUCCCUAGCUGGUCUGAGAGGAUGACCAGCCACACUGGAACUGAGACACGGUCCAGACUCCUACGGGAGGCAGCAGUGGGGAAUAUUGCACAAUGGGCGCAAGCCUGAUGCAGCCAUGCCGCGUGUAUGAAGAAGGCCUUCGGGUUGUAAAGUACUUUCAGCGGGGAGGAAGGGAGUAAAGUCAAUACCUUUGCUCAUUGACGUUACCCGCAGAAGAAGCACCGGCUAACUCCGUGCCAGCCGCCGCUGUAA